GCCUGGCUGGCUCAGUCAGUAGAGCAUGAGACUGCAGAUCUUGGGGUCAUGAGUUUGAGCCCCAUGUUGGCA
rnacentral:tRNA from 1 species